CCCAUCCUACUGUAUUUGAACUUUCCAUGAAAACAAUAGCCUGUGGUGAAACAGCUUGUCAUGGAUACUAAUGAAAAAUUGCCCGAGACAUCCUGAUGCGUUUCCUCCUGCAUUCAUUCUGCCCUUAAGGUCUGGGAAUUCACUGAACACAAAAAAUCUUAUUUUGCAGAACACAGGGAGAUUAACGUAAAUUCUGAAGUUCCCUGGUUUCCUUCGGGACACACCCAGAAAGAUUUAUCACCUUGACAAACGGACUGUCUCAAAUUAUUUUGGGUACAUUUUGGAGCAAGUAUAAAGGACCUAACAAUCUUCCUUAAUUGUAAAAGUCUUCAGAACUACUAACGCCUCUUGUGGAACUUGUGUACACCCAGCAACAAAGCAAUCUUCAACUCAAAAGAGAAACAAAAUUUUAAAGGAUGGGUGUGGAACUUUUGAAACUCAAAAGGAGGAAACAUCUCUUCUUCAUCCAGCCUAAGAAUCUGUACAGAAACGAACCUUUUGCCAUUUCCUUGUUUGGAAAAAGACAAAAUAAUAAAAGAAGAAAAAACAAAAAAUGUAAUUGAUAUUUUCUGCCACCAGAACUCUAUAAGGCUACUGAAUCCAACUGGAUCCCAUGAAACCAAGAAAAUGUAAUUAAAGGUCAUUACAAUGAACUGGGA
rnacentral:lncRNA from 1 species